AUUGAACGCUGGCGGCAGGCCUAACACAUGCAAGUCGAACGGUAACAGGAAGAAGCUUGCUUCUUUGCUGACGAGUGGCGGACGGGUGAGUAAUGUCUGGGACACUGCCUGAUGGAGGGGGAUAACUACUGGAAACGGUAGCUAAUACCGCAUAACGUCGCAAGACCAAAAAGGGGGACCUUCGGGCCUCUUGCCAUCGGAUGUGCCCAGAUGGGAUUAGCUAGUAGGUGGGGUAACGGCUCACCUAGGCGACGAUCCCUAGCUGGUCUGAGAGGAUGACCAGCCACACUGGAACUGAGACACGGUCCAGACUCCUACGGGAGGCAGCAGUGGGGAAUAUUGCACAAUGGGCGCAAGCCUGAUGCAGCCAUGCCGCGUGUAUGAAGAAGGCCUUCGGGUUGUAAAGUACUUUCAGCGGGGAGGAAGGGAGUAAAGUUAAUACCUUUGCUCAUUGACGUUACCCGCAGAAGAAGCACCGGCUAACUCCGUG
rnacentral:rRNA from 1 species